ensembl:lncRNA
UGUUGUGUUUUAUAGCUCUCCAGUGGCAAGUCACUCUGGAUAAAAGUCCCUGUCAACGACUGUAAAAGUGAAUAUAAAUAUAAGUUAGGUAUAAGGGAUUGAAUGUCUCUUAACAGAAGCCUUUAAGCUCUAAACUCUUUUCCCCUUAAAAAUGACAUCAUGGAAAAUUUAAGACAUGUUUAUCACAGCAGCUGUGCCCUUGAUUUAAACUGUGCACUUGGAGCAGUGAUCAACUCAGUACACACAACAACUAUACAAACUAUACAAUACAAUAUUAUUCUAUAUUUUAACCCUUGUCUUCUUGUUCUUGUAUACAUUAAUGUGAUGCUACCCGGGUUACUAGCAAACAUUUGUUCAACUUAAGAAAUGACGUGAUGAAAUUCAUGUUAGAUCCGAUAUUAAACCACACCAAACCACACUAAUCAUGGCGUUAUUAUUAUUAUUAUUAUUAUUAUUAUUAUUAUUAUUAUUGUGUGUGUGUGUGUGUGUGUGUGUGUGUGUGUGUGUGUGUGUGUGUGUGUGUGUGUGUGUAGCAUUCACCAAACCUGUCAUUUAUUAAUAUUACGGAACACAUGACAGAGAAUAUCAUUUAUAUCCUAUAACUAUAUCCUAUAAUCAUAUCUGCAUAUGUUACAGCUGCAAGAUGAAAUAAUAAUCAUUAUUUGUGAGUGGUUGAUUAUUAAGAGAUGAAUGCUUAUAUAUUGUACAGUUUGUCGUAUUUAACACCGUGCUACAUUUAUCACAGGUCUAUCAUAAUUAAUAAGGAAAAUAGAUUGACAAACCUCGCAGCAUCUUGGAGUCAGACACAACGGUGUUCAGAUCUGCAGCGUUUGUGCUCGUGAAUCCGUUUCACUUUCGAUUUUACACAUGAAUCGACUCACAAGACUCAGUAGGACCACCUUUAUAUCUCUUCCAUUGUUUUUUUUUAUUCGGCUGAAUUUCUCCUCACGUCUUACUUACUGAAAUAUUAACAUAAGCCCUUCAAGACUUUAUUCUCAAUAUUAAACACUCGAAUGCCUUUCCACUGUUAUUUCUCAGCUACUGAAUCAUCUAAACGGCUCUUCAGACCUAGGAGUCGGUUCCCAGCGUUCAUCUAAAACGCCCACUCAUUCGUAAACGACACAUCAACUCACCACUAUUCCCAGUGUCUAUUAGGGAAUCGACUCUUUUCGGAUAGAUCCUUUCACAACUAUAUCGGCAGAAAAGAAAAACAGAUGUCUGUGGUAAUAAAGUAAAAGUGUUACAUGAAUUUUAUGACUAGAUGAGUAAACUAUUUGCCUGUCUGUCCUUAAUACUACUAAUUGCUUUAUUGUUUUGUGAGCCAAGGAAUUCUCAUAUAAUGAGCAUAUAGAUAACGUUGUAAAAUAAUGUUGUGGAUAUAUUUAAUUGAAUAUUUCACAGAAAAAUCUGUAAUAUAUUCUCAGUCAUAUUUUGUGAAAGCCUGUUCAUACAGAAAUGCAUACAGUAGUAGGCUAUGUACAUUUUAUUUAACAGGUCACUUACAUGCAUAGUCACACAAUACUCAUUUCAUUUAAGCCCUAGCAUGUGAAAUAUUGCUGAUUAAAGGUAAAAAAAAAAAAAAAAAAAGAAAAGAAAAGGAAAAGAAAAAAAGAAAAGAAAAUAAUUCAUAAGACUGAUAUAUACAUUUAUAAUCAUAUAUCUGACACUUUAAGGUCCUUGUGUCUUUGUUCUGCCUUUUCAUUUUUAAUAUACGUUAAAUGUAACAAUGGAUGUUAUGUACAAGAAAGUCUUCUGUUGUUGUACUAGAAUUGUUUAAUGUUCGCACAUUACUUGUUAAAACCGUCCCAAAAAAAAAAAAAUUCUACAGUAAUUUAACUGUAGCUAAUUUACAGAAAUCAAUCAAAUGUAUUUCAUACUGGUCAACCGCCUGUGGUAUUAGUAUUAUUAUCGUGAUUUACCGUUGUCUUCACGUAAAAACCAACACCAAUGGCUAUCGCUAUUAAAAUAACAAAAAUGAAACAGAAGAUGAAUACCAGUGGAUUACACUGUGUCUGUGAUCCGGUUGUUUGUAGCUGUUGGGAAAAAAAGUCAUUGAGACACAAUAGUUAUAUAUGAGUACUGGCUGGUGCUAAUAGCUCUGGUUAAAAAAAAAAUUCUGUAAUGAUGACAGUGACAAAUGACUGGAUAAUUGGUCAAUGAAUGCUGUUGUUUUUGUCUACCUGGGUAUUGGGUGAAGCUCCUUUAGAGAUCAGAUGAUCGGUGACAGCUUUCAAUGCCUCAUCAUUGCGUUGGGAUCUGAGCAGUCCAAUGUCUUCAUAACAGAGCAAAUCCACAGCAAAUACAUCAUCCCUGUCUAGGUUCCAGGUGCUGUUUGGAGCCAUGUAAUUCUCAUCAAAUGUGAAGUGGAGCACCAUGAGAACAACAGGCUGACCCGCUGGAAGAAUGCGAGAUUCACAGGACAACGUUGUGUUCAUAAUCAACACUCACAUUUGCUCCGAAAACACCAUGGAGGGAGAAUUGUUUGUGUCAGAAAGAAAGAGGAAUGGUCCAAUAUCCAAACGUGACUAUUAUCAAUUUAUCUAUUUCAAUUUGCCAUUUUCUUCGUUUUUCUCUCUCUUUCUAUUCCAAUUUUAUUUUUAAAUGAUAAAACUAAUUCUCAUCUUCGACAGCAUAUUGAUGUAGCCAAUACAGACAAUGAGUUUAGGUGCAGUAUGCUGUAUAAACACCAAAUUACAAUCUGUUUCAAAACUAGAAAGUUCAACGCGAAAUUCGGACAAAAUAAAGAAACCUGCUUGUUUUAUCCGGGUCCUAAUGUCCUUUAUUUAGCAUUACAUGGCCUUAGGUUAUAAGCGUCUAUCUCUCAUUGGGUUUGGGUAUUCGAGAAAAUGGCAAACUGGUAUAGAUGAACAUUGUACUAUCAUACAGAAAUUAAUAGUACGUUAGAUUAUUAUAUCACUUAUUAAGACUAGGAGACUAUAUUGGUAUUCUAUUUAUUCAACUUCUCUAUAUAUCAGCGUGGGAAAAUAUUUCCACACCUCAGUUAUAAGAAAUCAUACAUGUAUUUUACCAAAAAAAAAAAAAAAAACAUGAAAAUGUUUUUAUUUACAUUUGAAUUGCUGGUAAACCCAGUCAGUCUGCCGAAAGAAAGUUUAAAACCUGUCUAGCCUCACCAAAAACCUAAGUGUGAUUUCCUUACAGGGUUAAUAUGGUCGAAUAGCUUUGUGCUGUAGUGAAGCAGACACUGAAGUCAGUUUAUAAUCAUGUACCAGCUGGCAAAAUGCCGGCGUGCUCCUGCACAGCAGUCGGAAAGAAAUCUUUAAAUGAAAAUGUCUCUCAUUUUACUUUAAAAUGCUAGAAGUUUACUCCUCAUGGUUGAGAUACCAAAAUUGAAAUAUAUUUCAGUUCAGGAAAGUGUGUAACUUUCACAACUAGUAGUCCAAGGCCACCACAGAUAUAAUCUAAUACGGUAAUUAGUGAUUUUAAACAUAGCCACAUUUAACUAAAAGAUUACUCCUUACUUCUCGGGAUCCUCUGAAGAGCAGCUUCAAUGUCCGUUCCUGCCCGAGAUACAACUGGGACAAAAGCGAUGAUGACGUCACCGUGGUUCUCUGCAUACGCUUCACGAAGCUGUAGACGUUGCCUCAGCCGACUCAAAAUCUCCACAUGGAUAUUUAUGGUGUUCCCGAGUACCAUCGGGAAGAACAGCAGCGUUUUUGAUUCUGGAGACGAAACGACACGCGGCAGCACUAAAACUCUCUGUACAAUGGUGAUCGGAAAGUAAAGUCUACAAUGAAAAUGAAACAAGCCUAUUUUUCCUGAUUGAUUUUUAGACGUUACAUUAAUCGCUACAUUUUAUAACACAAUAACACAUAUAAAUUACUUAAAUGCAUUCAUUUAAAUGGAUUUCGUAUCUGCCUAUUCAGGCACAAAUGGAACAGACUAUACUAGGGAUUGAUAGGGAACUGAAUUGAUUUGCUCAAUUUUUGACAGAAGUCUACAAAAGUUAAGAACAUAGAACAUCUGUCCAACAGGUAUUGAAUGUUGGCUGUGGUCUGAAAACAUAAACCAAAAUUGUUAUAGCACACAAACCACCUUAAAUCUUAUCAAAUCAGUCCCAAAUAUAAACACAGGCGUUAUCUAAUAUCACCCUCUCUCCCUGCUACAGGUAUUCUUUAUAUACUUGGAAGAGGAUUCCAAGUGGAACCCUUUUAGAAAGCUAGAAACCGUUAAGCAUGCAAAGAACCCUUAUGGUACCUUUAUUUCCCCCCUAAGAAUACUUAACUGCUGCUUAUUUGUGUCUGUCAAUUACAUUUACUCUGUUAUUCGUGAUAGCAUUUUUACACAUCUGACUUUUGUAUUUUGGGUCAAAACUGCAAGCUGUUUUAAAUAUCCAUGUGCAAUCACACCCGGUUCACCUGAGAGCAGUAGUCUCAGGUCCUUUUCAGGUGAACAGAUGAAAGUAAUCAGCUGUAUAGAACUACACUCACUGGAGAACAGGCUGAAGGGAAAAUUUCCGCCUUCUUACAAGCCGAGAAUUAUUCCUGAGUACAGACUUUAAUAUUCAGAUGUAUUCAGUAUUCAGAUUGAGUACAGUAUUUAGUAUUCAGAAGUGGAAAUGCAGAUACGCUAUACAGCAAAGACUAUAGCAGGGAUUUUUUUUUUUUUUUAUCUACUCCUAUCAGGUUUCACAAUACUUCCUGGCAGUGUGUUAGUGUGCUAUCCUGCCCCCUGUUUACCGUACCAUUUUAUAAGUAAUUAUUCUCGAGCGAUGCACUCUUUUUUCUGCUUAAUUUUGUAAACAAUAACGUUUUUGCCAGCAUGUGAAGGUUUCUUGCUAUCACACUUUGUAGUUUGUAGUAAUUAGGUGUAUUUAUUCUGUUUAUUUAAUGUCCCGUGGAAAUCUGCCACUAAUGUUCCCACUCGGGAUCAAUAAAGCCCAUCCAUCCAUCCAUCAAUCUAUAAAAUGUCCUGGAAUUUUAGAUUAUGGCUUCAGAAGGAUUUGAUAUUUUUUGUAAAUACAUGAAGGAAAAGGGCACAAGCCUGCAUUUAUUCCCUGUGAUUCCCUGUGUGAGUAUACCGUUUAAUUAUGUUUAACGUAUUGUCGUGUGUUUUGAGUUUCCAGGCAACCAAAAUACUGGACUGGGUUGGAUUAGAUAAUGAAUUUAUGUUUAGCGUAUGUUCUGUAUAUUAAAAUGAUAUAGAAGUCCAGUUCUGGAGCUUAGCGUCUAAGUUUUUGGCCUACUGACCUGAAGGUUGUGAGUUUAAAGCCCUGCUGAACCAUGCACUACGGCCUUUGUACUUAUACUGGAUUCUGCUUCAGUACAAGCUAUCUAAAUUUAGAUUUUAUUAUUUAGGAUCAUAUAGUAGACAAUACUUUCAAUCAGAAAAAAUAACGUUGUUUUUUUUUUUCUUUUGUAAACCAUGAGGUCUUAGAACAUCAAGGGUGCGGUGCUCCGGAGAAUUAACAGGGAGGAGAAAGCUCCUGAAACACACCCAGCAGACUAAAACACACCUCGACUGUGAGAGAAGAGUCUGUUUUGAAAACAUGCUAAUGAUCAUAACUGACAGAAUAAUUAUAAAUCAACAUUUCAAACAACAUUAUGAGGGCACAACAACACACCUGGAGGUCCAUAUGACACUAUGAAAAUUCUUAACUUGUCUAACAAAUUAUGACUCUUUUGAAUGCUUUUUUUUUUUUUUUUUAAUAGUAUUUUAAAGCUCCUUAUUCACCACCACUGAUGCGUGAACACAUGUUUGACAGCUCAGUUCUGCUAUGCGUACUAUGUGAACCGGAGGGUGGUGUGAUCAACUGAGCGCACCAUCCGCACUGAGCUCCCUGAGCAGCAGUCUGUCUACAGCAGGCGGAGCUGAACCAAAGCCAGGAAGAUAGUGAAAGACCUCAGCCAUGUGAAUAAUACAUUCUUCUCUCUGUUGCAAUCAGGGAAGUGCUUCGACUCCCUGAAGGCCAACACAGAGAGAUUAUGAGGAGGAGCUUCUUCCCACAGGCCAUUAGGGCCCUCAACCAGAACAACACCUAGGACUAGACUUUUUUAAUUUUUUACAUUACUGUUAAUAUACUUGUAUUACCCUGUAUUGAUAAAUAUUUAUUACAUUCUGUUAGAUAUUUGACUGCAACUACGUCGGCCUGAUGUUGCACGGCAUUGAACCGCACAUAUCUGCGGGUUACUCCACGUAUAGUCCAUGCUUUUUCUUCCUUCCAUCUUUAAUAUCCUUUACACUAUAUCAUUUUUUAAAUAAUUUCAUGUUUUUUGACUUCUGACUUUGAUGUUUUUAUAUAUUACAGUUUCAAGUUUAGUAUAAUUCACCAUCAUUCUGCCUUUGUGUUGAGGAAUGCGUGCACACCUUACAACACGCGCAACGUGUAACCUGCAAGAACAUGUUUUUCCUGUUACUUGUUUGUUUCUAAAAAGAAGGUAACCUUUUUGCAACCACCGUAAUGUCUGCAGCUUAAAUAUUUCCAUUUGACAAAUGGAAAAAAAAAGAAAAAAAAAACCUCACCAGUUAAGCAUAACAUCGCAAUAUAAUAUGCAUCCCAUGGUAGUAUAUUUCUCAUGCAAUCAGAAUGCCAACAGGUUAUGUUUAACAUAUAUUUGAACAUUAAAAAUGGACAUGACGGCAUAUGUUUGAUAUAUGUUAUCAUACGAUAAAUAUUGAGAAUUUCACUGGCAAAAUGAUACAUUUAUUGCAGAUAUAUUUGGGAUAUCAAGUCAUAUAUAUGCAUACAUGUCUCUUCAGUAUAAUAAUAACGAUAAGGUUAAUAAAAAAAGACUGAUUUGCAGCUAGCUCGAGUGCCUCUACAGUACAUAUUAGAGUAUGAAGUUUUUUUCUGAGUUUCACAAGAAGUGUGUUUUCUUUCCUUCUUUCUUUCCUUCUUUCUUUCUUUCUAAUGGUUUAAAGUGCUGUAAUAAGAGCACACCAGAAUGUCUAAAAGUAAAGUCCUGUUUUACUUAAAGCCACUCAUGAGAAUCUAGUCUUGCAACAUUCUGCAUGUUAAGAACACAUCCUGAAAACAACAAAGGAUUGGAUCAAGUACCUGCCUCGUUUCAGGAUCCCUUUUCCAACAAAGACCCCAAAAAUAUAAAAGCUGUAGCCUAUUAUGAAAUAUGAAUCUAUUGACAAACCUGGAACCAUUUUGAAGGGAGAAGGAUCACAACCGGACUUUUCAGCGUCUCUGACUGAGGAGAGACGAGUAUCACGUUCAGGUUUUUUUCUUUUCUUUACACGAUUGAUGGGCGUGGCCAGUCAGAGUUAAAGCUGCAAUAGUAUGAUUAGUGAACGUCUACAUCAUAGAAUGGCAUAAUGAAACAACACCAGCAACAACACAACCGAGCAAAACGGAGACUACAAUCAGCCUUAGUUGAGCUCGUCUGGAUGUUUCUGCUGGAUCAGUCUGUCGGGAAAAGAGGUAGAAUUAGUGCAGUACUGUAAAACUGUUUUCUUUGCUAGCUGUUCAAAACUUACCUGAAUAUCCGGUGAAGCGCCCUUAGAGAUCAGAUAAUCAGUAGUAGAUUUCAGCAUCUUGUCAUUGUGCAGGCUGUUCAAAGGUCCAUCAUCUUCAUGAAAGAGGAUGUCCACAGCAAACACACCAUCCUUCUUCACAGACAGUUUGCUAUCUGGAGCAACGUAAUUUACAUCAAACGUGUGAUGGAACACCACGAGGACAACAGGCUGACUCGCUGGAAGAAAGAGAGGAAAAAGAAAUAACGUUGUGUUAAUUAGAAAAUAACUCAUACAGGAUACAGCCAGAGUGAAUCACAGAAGCUUUGAAACAUUAAAAAAAAAAAAGAGUAUGUGUUCAGGACUACACACCACCUUGCAUCAAAAGCAUUAGUUUGGUUGAUGCUAUAUCCUAAACCCAAACUUACCACCAUACUGUAGUGUGUAACCUAUGGUGGUGUUCUGUUUUGAAUACGAUCGCUAAUAUAGUAAUAAGUAAUAUUGAAUAUCACUCUGUACUCUCAAGCUUUUGAAGAGCAGAUUGUAUGUCCGUUCCAGCCCGAGACACGACAGGGACAAAAGCAAUGACAACGUCACACUCCUCCACUGAAUACACUUCACGGAGAUGAAGACGUUUUUGCAGUCGCUCAAUGAACUUGGUUUGGGCACCCAGAACAUUCCCAAGUACCAUGACGUAGAACGCCAGCGCAUUUGAUCCUGGAGACAAAAUGAAACAGUGAAUGUUUAAGAUCAGUGGUACUUCUAUAUUUAAUAGUCCUGUAAAUCCUGUAUUAGAAGCUAUUUUGGCAUAUUUUUACACCAAGAGGAAAAGUUUUAAUUCUGCAUAUAUUUAUUCUGCCCUAUGGAGCACAUUUGAUUGGGUAUUCUUCAUACUACAUACUAUAAUCACCCGCAAUACACCCGACACACCUGGUAUGUAUUUGCAUUCGUUCAAACAAAUGAGGCUGGGUCUUAUUUAUUUAUUUGUAUGUUUGUUUGUUUGGUAUAAGACUACCAUCGCUAAAAUAACCACACUUUACAACUGUAGCAAACAGGAAAGUAUCUCAGAACGCACAACACGUCAAACCAUGAGGCAGAUGGGCUACAUCAGCAGAAGACCACAUUAGGUUCCACUCGUGUCAGCCAAGAACAAGAAUCUGAGGCUAUAGUGGACAAAGUCUGACAUAAACCGGACAGCCGAAGAGUGUGAAAAGUGUUUUGAGUAUUCGAGUUACCGUGGCCUUCUCCUCUGACCUAGCUCAUCAACACCCACAGAACUGCCGUUCACUGGAUGUUUUUUUUUGUUUUUCACAUCGUUCUGUAUAGAGAUUGUUGUGUGUGAAAAUUCCAGGAGAACCGCGGUUUCUGAAAUAAUCAGAUUAGCCAACAAUGAUGAUACAGUCAACGUCACAGAUUUUUCCCGUUCUGAUGUUUGAUGUGA